rnacentral:rRNA from 1 species
UGCUUAACACAUGCAAGUCGAACGGAGAUUUAGAAGAGCUUGCUCUUCGAAGAUCUUAGUGGCGGACGGGUGAGUAACGCGUGGGUAACCUGCCCUUAAGAGGGGGAUAACACCGCGAAAGUGGUGCUAAUACCGCAUGACACUAUUAAGUUGCAUGACUUGAUAGUCAAAGGAGUAAUCCGCUUAAGGAUGGACCCGCGUCUGAUUAGCUAGUUGGUAGGGUAACGGCCUACCAAGGCGACGAUCUGUAGCUGGUCUGAGAGGACGACCAGCCACACUGGGACUGAGACACGGCCCAGACUCCUACGGGAGGCAGCAGUGGGGAAUUUUGGACAAUGGGCGCAAGCCUGAUCCAGCCAUUCCGCGUGCAGGAUGAAGGCCCUCGGGUUGUAAACUGCUUUUGUACGGAACGAAAAGGCGCGGGUUAAUACCCUGUGCUGAUGACGGUACCGUAAGAAUAAGCACCGGCUA